rnacentral:sRNA from 1 species
CCGCAGCAGGGAUAGGAGCGGAUAUCCUUUUUUGUGCGGAUGGAAGUCCCUCGCCUUUGGAGAGGGAUUUAGGGUGAGGAAAAAAAGAUAGCAGCGGAUAGCCCGGCCGGCA